rnacentral:rRNA from 1 species
CAGUAGCCGCGGUAAUACGUAGGGUGCAAGCGUUAAUCGGAAUUACUGGGCGUAAAGCGUGCGCAGGCGGUUUGUUAAGACAGAUGUGAAAUCCCCGGGCUCAACCUGGGAACUGCAUUUGUGACUGGCAAGCUAGAGUGUGGCAGAGGGGGGUGGAAUUCCGCGUGUAGCAGUGAAAUGCGUAGAGAUGUGGAGGAACACCGAUGGCGAAGGCAGCCCCCUGGGCCAAUACUGACGCUCAUGCACGAAAGCGUGGGGAGCAAACAGGAUUAGAUACCCGUGUAGUCCCUGUCUCUUAUAA